rnacentral:tRNA from 1 species
AUGAGUUUAGUAUAAUAUAAUAUAUUGGAUUUAGGUUCCAGGGAUUUAUACUCAUU